UCUCGGGCUCCGUGCAACGGGCGGCUGCAAACCCCGCCAGGUCCGGAAGGAAGCAACGGUAGC
rnacentral:SRP_RNA from 1 species